ensembl:rRNA 5S_rRNA 5S ribosomal RNA
ACUUACAGCCAUACCUCACUGAGCGCGCUCGAUCUUGACUGAUCUCAGAAGCUAAGCAGGGUCGGGCCUGGUUAGUACUUGGAUGGGAGACCGCCUGGGAAUACCAGGUGUUGUAAGCU